rnacentral:rRNA from 1 species
GAUGAACGCUGGCGGCGUGCCUAAUACAUGCGAGUCGAGCGAACGGACGAGAAGCUUGCUUCUCUGAUGUUAGCGGCGGACGGGUGAGUAACACGUGGAUAACCUACCUAUAAGACUGGGAUAACUUCGGGAAACCGGAGCUAAUACCGGAUAAUAUUUUGAACCGCAUGGUUCAAAAGUGAAAGACGGUGUUGCUGUCACUUAUAGCUGGAUCCGCGCUGCAUUAGCUAGUUGGUAAGGUAACGGCUUACCAAGGCAACGAGGCAUAGCCGACCUGAGAGGCUGAUCGGCCACCCUGGAACGUAGACACGGUCCAGACUCCUACGGGAGGCAGCAGUAGGGAAUCUUCCGCAAUGGGCGAAAGCCUGACGGAGCAACGCCGCGUGAGUGAUGAAGGUCUUCCGAUCGUAAAACUCUGUUAUGAGGGAAGAACAUAUGUGUAAGUAACUGUGCACAUCUUGACGGUACCUAAUCAGAAAGCCACGGCUAACUACGUG